UACGUAGGGGGCGAGCGUUGUCCGGAUUUAUUGGGCGUAAAGAGCUCGUAGGCGGUUCGAUAAGUCGGACGUAAAAUCUCCACGCUCAACGUGGAGGGGCCGUUCGAUACUGUCGUGACUCGAGUCCGGUAGGGGAGUGUGGAAUUCCCGGUGUAGCGGUGAAAUGCGCAGAGAUCGGGAGGAACACCCGUAGCGAAGGCGGCACUCUGGGCCGGUACUGACGCUGAGGAGCGAAAGCGUGGGGAGCAAACAGG
rnacentral:rRNA from 1 species